AACUUGCCUUUGUUUUUUUCUUAAACUGUGAAUGCACAGCGUUCUAGAACACAACUACUAACUAGCUCGGCCUGGUACCACGGAUUUGUGCUACGGCACCAGGAGAGCAAAAUCAACACAGAAAAAAGCAAGAAAACUCAGAGAAAAAAUAAAACAAAUCUACAAUGAACACAUCAGUAUGUAUAUUUCUACAAACUUGUGUGAGAAGUUCUGUAAGAUCAAGUCCUAAAAGCAGAAUUGCUGGCUCAAAGGUAUUUCUCUCGGAAGUAUUAAGAUUUCAAAAACUGGGCAGAAUGAAUCACAGACAAAUGCUUUCAGAAACUUAGAUGGGGACAUAUAUAAUGUAAGAUGGACUUAACUUACAUGUAGAAUAAAAUGGACUUACAUGUAAAAGCAUUUAGAGUGUCUGGUAUUAUGUGUUAGCUCCUACUAUUAUUGUUAAAUCAUUAUUGUAACUUAUUACUAAGUCAUAAGUUACUAAGUAAAAAGUUACAAUAAUAAUUUUUAAAAUUUUUUCCAGUCCUAUGUGAUCUGAAAAAAUAUAUAUAUACCCAAAUACCGUUUACUUAAACAUGGGAAGGUAGAGGACAAGGAAAGAAGAAAAGCUAAGUAAAAUGUAUUUCCUUGUUCUAAUAGGAGAAGAAGUCACGGAAAAAUGUAAGGUUAAACACGUCAGUUUACAAUUAGGAAUAUCUGCUUUACUUCCUUUAUUGGAGUAACUAAAGGUUUCUUUUAUUAUUUUCCCCCUACAAAUUAAUUUAGCAAAAGUUAAACUCAAAAUAGGCAAAGAAUAUAAACAGUUCACAGAAAAGGACACACAUGUGGCCUUUUAAAAAUAUAAAAACAUGCCGGGCACAGUGGCUCACGUCUGUAAUCCCAGCACUUUGGGAGGCCGAG
rnacentral:lncRNA from 1 species